AGAGAGAGAGAGAUAUGGUAUAACUAAUGGAAUUUAUUGUAGGUAUGAUGUGGUUUUGUGGAGUUGAUAAUAUUGAUAUGAAUUUAAAGAAAAGGUUAGUGGUUGUUGUAUGGGAGUUAAGUUUGGUUAUGCUACCAUGUAUUAUUCAUAACAAAAGACAAGGUUGUGGUGACAUUAUGAUUUAGAGGUUUGUUACAUGGUGUACCGGUUU
rnacentral:lncRNA from 1 species